rnacentral:rRNA from 1 species
UGGGGAAUAUUGGACAAUGGGGGGAACCCUGAUCCAGCCAUGCCGCGUGUGUGAAGAAGGCCUUAUGGUUGUAAAGCACUUUAAGCGAGGAGGAGGCCCUUCUAGUUAAUACCUAGGAUGAGUGGACGUUACUCGCAGAAUAAGCACCGGCUAACUCUGUGCCAGCAGCCGCGGUAAUACAGAGGGUGCGAGCGUUAAUCGGAUUUACUGGGCGUAAAGCGUGCGUAGGCGGCUAAUUGAGUCGGAUGUGAAAUCCCCGAGCUUAACUUGGGAAUUGCAUUCGAUACUGGUUAGCUAGAGUGUGGGGGAGGAUGGUAGAAUUCCAGGUGUAGCGGUGAAAUGCGUAGAGAUCUGGAGGAAUACCGAUGGCGAAGGCAGCUAUAUGGCCUAACACUGAAGCUGAGGUAAGAAAGAAUGGGGAGCAAACAGG